AAACAUAUAAAAACAAGUGGAUUAAUUAAUGUCCCGACUUUAUUGGAUUUUAUGUCCUCCAAAGUGGAUUGACAAGUCCCCACUUGCUUUAGUUUUCUCUUUUCCUCUUUGUCACAUUUGUUGAGCAUAUACAGAAGGAAUGUUAGUCAAAAGCAGAAAACGAAAAGAAAGGAUAGGAAGAUGAUGAGCACUACACUCUGGCACUACAACCUCAGAAGAUUCACGAACGGGCAACAGAAACUGUAUAUAUAUAAAGAGAGAGAGAGAGAGCACUUGCAUUUAUACAAAGUUAAAACUUACGUUUCUUCACAAAAAUGAACCUACAUUAGCAAUGGUUCAUAGAAAUAGCUCAUAAUAUUAACUAGUCUUGUUGGGGUCCAAGCAACCAUUACCAUUGUUUGGUGUGGUGGACUGAACCAAGCAAUCAAACAUCAUCCUCUUCACUGACUUCUUCUUUUUAGGGAACACACUUCCAUUCUUGGGUUUGAAACAUGCCUCUGUUCCUGCUUUCGACCCCUCUUCACUCUGCUUCUUCUCCAUCUCUCUCUCUCUCUAUGCCUUUGCUCACUGUAUGCUAUGAUGUGUU
rnacentral:lncRNA from 1 species